rnacentral:rRNA from 1 species
ACGGGUGAGUAACGCGUGGGCAACCUGCCCUAUCGCCCGGGAUAACCCUCGGAAACGAGGGCUAAUACCGGAUGCGGUCACCGGCUCGCAUGAGCGGGUGACGAAAGGGCCAUGGGUCCGCGAUAGGAUGGGCCCGCGUCCCAUUAGCUAGUUGGUGGGGUAACGGCCCACCAAGGCGACGAUGGGUAGCCGGCCUGAGAGGGUGGACGGCCACACUGGCACUGAGACACGGGCCAGACUCCUACGGGAGGCAGCAGUAGGGAAUCUUGCGCAAUGGGCGAAAGCCUGACGCAGCGACGCCGCGUGGGGGAUGAAGGUCUUCGGAUCGUAAACCCCUGUCUUUGGGGACGAAGCAUGACGGUACCCAAGGAGGAAGCCCCGGCUAACUACGUGCCAGCAGCCGCGGUAAAACGUAGGGGGCGAGCGUUGUCCGGAAUUACUGGGCGUAAAGGGUGCGUAGGCGGCCGCUUAAGUCCUGUGUGAAAGGCCCCGGCUUAACCGGGGAGGGUCAUGGGAAACUGGGCGGCUUGAGUGCCGGAGAGGGUGGCGGAAUUCCCGGUGUAG